rnacentral:rRNA from 1 species
GACGAACGCUGGCGGCGUGCUUAACACAUGCAAGUCGAACGGAAAGGCCCCUUUGGGGGUCCUCGAGUGGCGAACGGGUGAGUAACACGUGAGUAACCUGCCCUUGACUUCGGGAUAACUCCAGGAAACUGGGGCUAAUACCGGAUAGGAAUCCUUGCUGCAUGGUGGGGGUUGGAAAGCUUCGGCGGUUUUGGAUGGACUCGCGGCUUAUCAGCUUGUUGGUGGGGUAGUGGCUUACCAAGGCUUUGACGGGUAGCCGGCCUGAGAGGGCGACCGGCCACAUUGGGACUGAGAUACGGCCCAGACUCCUACGGGAGGCAGCAGUGGGGAAUAUUGCACAAUGGGCGGAAGCCUGAUGCAGCAACGCCGCGUGCGGGAGGACGGCCUUCGGGUUGUAAACCGCUUUCAGCAGGGGCGAAGCUUGUGGUGACGGUACCUGCAGAAGAAGCACCGGCUAACUACGUG